UGUCUUCCUGUAUUUUAAGGUGAUUGACAAGGAACAGAGAUAACAAGCUGGAGCAAUGUGAAUUUUGAGUGGUUUCGUGUCUUCGAUAUGUCUUCUGUCACAUUUUGAAAUGAUCAUGAUUCCUCCAUAUACAUCAGAGCUUGCAACUGUAUCUGCUCCUAUUAAAGGAUGUGCUGUCUCAUGAGGUAAAAUGUUUUGAUUCUAAUCAGGUGAGAAUAGUAAGGAGUGUGCCUGUGAGCUAUCCUGACCAAGGCUCUUACCAAGAAGUAAGUAGCCUUUCUUUUAGAAAAAAGCUACUCCCGUUACCAUCCUGGUAUUGAUAGUCAAGCAGAAUUACUUACUGGAAACAGGAGACUUACUUAAAGGUUAAUGAAUAUUAGAAUUUUCUUCCUUACUCUCCUCACCAUC
rnacentral:lncRNA from 1 species